AGGGUGUUCUGGGGACGGUUAGGGAGAAGGGGUGGUUGGAUGGGGAAGGGGUUGGGGAGGAAGUCAGUAAUGAGAGGAGGGCUUAGAUGGGAUGGCAGUGGGCAGUCAGGGA